CCUCGCCCGCCGCCCGAAAUCGGCCGAUAAAUCGCCGAAACCCGCUACCGAUUACCCCCUUCCUUGGCCCCUCCUCCGCCGAUUCGCCCCCAAGGGCGAAAAAAUUGGGAAAAAGAAUUAAAAAUUUCAAAAAAAAGUCGAGAAUAUUUUUUCUCCUCUCCUCCCUUCCCACUCUCCACCACCGCCUCUCCCCCGGCGUACGCUGGCUAACGUGCACGCCGCCGCCCCCUAUUUAGACCGCCCCUCUCCCUCUCUUCUCAUCGAUUCUCCAAGUAAGAGUGUGAGGUGGACGUUGGACACUUCCAGUGCAAUGGCUUUCUUUAGGAGCUAUGGGAACAAGAUGGAAUCUGGGCAUGACUUGAAUGAGAAGGCAGGGGACAGUGGAACUGAGGAUGCAUAUGCUUCUGUCGGCAAUAGAGAUGGUGAUGUGAGUAUUAGCGAUAAGGAUGUUGAUAUAAAGGCAGAAGACACUUACCAGAGCGAAGAGGAGCCAUUUGAUUCUGGUAGACAGCAGAGUGAUACGUCUGGUUGGAAUGCCACUUCUAAAGGAAGAAGAACAACUCCUGGUCAAUGGGGCUCAAAUUUCUGGAGGGACUGCCAACCAAUGUGGGAGUCUAAAGAUGCAGAGUAUGAUGGUAAUAAAGGUGAGGAAGAAUCUGAUGUUAAUUCUUUAGAAGAAUCAGAUGGACAGGGAGAUGAUGGAAGGCCUCAUAGAGGGCAGGUUGAUGUACCUGCAGAUGAGAUGCUGUCUGAUGAUUAUUAUGAGCAGGAUGGUGAGGAGCAGAGUGACUCAUUGCAUUGCAGAGGACCGAGCCAUCCUAGCAACUCCGAUUUAAGAUUGCCACCGAAGCCAGCUUCCGGUAACAAGAGCAAGUCAAAGAGUACAAAGUCUGCAAAGUAUGAUGAAUACGGCAAUGAUGAGGACUAUGAGGAAGAAGAUGAGGAAGAAGAAGAUGAUCCGGACGAUGCUGAUUUUGAGCCAGAUUUGAGCGAAAUAGGAAGGGGUCCAAAGGACAAGGCGAAAUUGCCAGAGAGCGACGAUUUUGAUGAUGAUGAUGAUGAUGACGACGAUGAUGAGGACCUUGAUCUUUCUGAUGAAGAUGAUUUUAUCGAAAAUCCGCGACGAAAGGUGCGCCGUAAAGCUGGAUGCAAUCUGAAGUCCAAAGAAAUGAAAUCUUCUGUACAUAGUCGACGAAGAGGGAAAACUUUCUCAGAUGAUGAAUAUUCAUCAGGAAAAGAUUCAGAAGAUGAUACUGAUGAAGACUUUGACCAUAAAAUAAGGAGAUCAUCACAAUUACGUAAAAAAGUUGGAGGUCGGUCAACCAUGUCGGCAAAUGUGAAUUCUCAUGGUAGCGAGCUUCGCACAUCUGGUAGGUCAGUGAAAAAAAUUUCGUAUGCUGAAAGUGAGGAAAGUGAAGAUGAUGAUGAAGAAAGAUCAAAUAAGACCCAAAAGGUUUUGCAGGAGGAUGCUGAAGAAGAUGAUGGAGAUUCAAUUGAAAAGGUACUCUGGCACCAGCCAAAAGGAAGGGCUGAAGAAGCUAUGAGGAACAACCAGUUAACUCUCCCUGUUGUGCUGAGCACAAUGUCAGACUCCGAACCUGAUUGGGAUGAAGUGGAAUUUUAUAUAAAAUGGAAAGGACACUCAUAUUUACACUGCCAGUGGAAACUGAUCUCCGAUCUUCAAAAUCUUACUGGAUUUAAAAAGGUUUUGAACUACAUGAAAAAAGUGUCUGAAGAAAGAAAAUACAAAAAGGCCUUGUCACGUGAGGAGGCUGAGGUUCAUGAUGUAAGCAAGGAAAUGGAGUUAGACCUACUUAAACAGUACAGCCAGGUAGAAAGGAUAUUUGCAGAUAGAAUCAGUAAAGUUGAUGGUGAUGAGGUGGUGCCUGAGUAUUUAGUCAAGUGGCAAGGGCUUUCUUAUGCUGAAGCAACCUGGGAAAAGGACACUGAUAUUGCGUUUGCUCAAGAUGCAAUAGAUGAAUACAAGGCUCGUGAGGCUGCCAUGACUGUGCAAGGAAAGAUGGUUGACUUCCAGCGGAAGAAAAGCAAAGCUAGUUUGCGAAAGCUUGAUGAGCAACCUGAAUGGCUGAAAGGAGGUAAACUUCGUGAUUAUCAACUGGAGGGCUUGAAUUUUCUUGUUAACAGCUGGAGAAAUGAUACAAAUGUCAUCUUAGCUGAUGAAAUGGGUCUUGGUAAAACCGUUCAGUCGGUUUCUAUGUUAGGCUUUCUUCAGAAUACUCAACAAAUUCAUGGUCCUUUUCUUGUUGUUGUACCACUCUCGACGUUGUCAAACUGGGCAAGAGAAUUCAGAAAGUGGCUUCCUGAAAUGAAUAUAGUGGUAUAUGUUGGAAAUCGUGCUAGCAGAGAGAUCUGUCAGCAAUUUGAAUUCUUUACAAACAAGAAGAGUGGCAGACAUAUAAAAUUCAAUACUUUGUUAACCACAUACGAAGUGAUAUUAAAGGAUAAAGCUGUGUUAUCUAAGAUUAAGUGGAACUACCUGAUGGUUGAUGAGGCUCAUAGAUUGAAGAAUAGUGAAGCAUCAUUGUAUACAACUCUUUCGGAAUUCAGCACCAAAAACAAGCUUCUUAUCACUGGUACCCCACUUCAGAACAGUGUUGAGGAGCUAUGGGCCCUCCUACAUUUCCUUGAUCCUGUAAAGUUUAAUAAUAAGGAUGAUUUUGUUGAGAAAUACAAGAACUUAAGUUCUUUCAAUGAAAUUGAGCUUGCUAAUCUUCACAUGGAAUUGAGGCCACACAUUCUCCGAAGAGUCAUAAAAGAUGUUGAGAAGUCCUUGCCCCCCAAAAUUGAGCGCAUUCUUAGGGUAGAAAUGUCUCCUCUUCAGAAACAGUAUUACAAGUGGAUUUUGGAGCGUAAUUUCCACAAUUUGAAUAAAGGUGUUCGUGGGAAUCAAGUUUCACUCUUGAAUAUUGUUGUUGAGUUGAAGAAAUGCUGCAAUCAUCCUUUCUUGUUUGAAAGUGCGGAUCAUGGAUAUGGUGGAGAUAACAGCACUAGAGAUAGUAAUAAAGUUGAGCGCAUUGUUUUGAGCAGUGGGAAGCUAGUAAUCCUUGACAAACUACUUAUUAGGCUGCGGGAGACAAAUCACCGUGUUUUAAUUUUCUCUCAGAUGGUUAGGAUGUUGGACAUACUUGCAGAGUAUUUAUCGCUUAGAGGAUUCCAAUUUCAGAGGCUUGAUGGUAGUACAAGGGCUGAUCUGCGCCAGCAGGCCAUGGAGCAUUUUAAUGCACCUGGAAGUGAUGAUUUCUGUUUCCUUCUUUCAACACGUGCUGGUGGGCUGGGCAUUAACCUUGCUACUGCAGAUACUGUUAUAAUAUUCGACUCAGACUGGAAUCCUCAAAAUGAUUUGCAGGCAAUGAGUAGAGCGCAUAGGAUAGGACAACAAGAAGUUGUCAACAUCUACCGAUUUGUUACUAGCAAAAGUGUGGAGGAGGAUAUCUUGGAGCGUGCUAAGAAAAAGAUGGUUUUAGAUCACCUGGUUAUUCAGAAGCUAAAUGCAGAGGGAAGACUUGAGAAGAAAGAGACGAAGAAAGGCAGUUCUAUGUUUGACAAGAAUGAACUUUCUGCAAUAUUGAGGUUUGGAGCAGAGGAAUUGUUUAAGGAAGACAAAAAUGAGGAAGAGAGCAAAAGACGACUUGAAAGUUUGGAUAUUGAUGAAAUUCUUGAGAGAGCUGAGAAAGUUGAAUCUAAGGGCACUGAUGGGGAGCCAGGAAAUGAAUUGCUAAGUGCUUUCAAGGUUGCCAAUUUCUGCAGUGCUGAAGAUGAUGCAACAUUUUGGAGUCGGUUGAUACAACCAGAAGCUGUGGAACAAGCUGAUGAAGCAUUAGCACCACGUGCUGCAAGAAAUACGAGGAGCUAUGCUGAAAAUAACCAAGCUGAGAAAAGUACAAAACGGAAAAAGAGAGCCCUUGAGCCUCGAGAAAAAGCUCAGAAGCGUUCAACCAGAGCUGCGGAUGCUUCAGUCUAUUCAUUGCCAAUGAUUGAGGGAGCAACAGCUCUAGCAAGGGAGUGGUCCUAUGGAAAUUUAUCGAAGAAAGAUGCUUCACAUUUUGUCCGAGCGGUCAAGCGGUUUGGAAACUCAAGCCAAAUUGACUUAAUCGUGGCUGAGGUUGGUGGUAUAAUUGAAACAGCUCCUCCUGAGGUCCAGAUUGAGCUAUUUGAGCUGUUGAUUGAUGGUUGUCAAGAAGCAGUUAGAAGAGGAAAUAUGGAUGUGAAGGGAACUCUUUUGGAUUUUUUUGGUGUACCUGUAAAGGCAUAUGAAGUAUUAGAUCGUGUCGAAGAGCUUCAGCUUCUAGCAAAACGCAUUGGACGAUACAAAGAUCCAGUUUCUCAAUUUCGUUUGAUAACACAACAUAAAAGCCCACAGUGGUCAAAAAGCUGUGGUUGGAAUUCAGUUGAUGAUGCAAGGUUGCUUCUUGGAAUACACUAUCAUGGAUAUGGGAAUUGGGAAAAGAUAAGGUUGGACCCUAGGUUGGGUCUUACAAGGAAAAUUGCUCCCGUAACUCUUGGGGAACGGGAAACUUUUUUACCCCGUGCUCCUAACUUAGAUAAUCGUGCUAGUGCUCUUCUAGCAAAGGAGUUUGCUAGUGUUAGUGGAAAGGGAUCUAAAGUUAAGGGGUCUCGUAAAAUUGCUAAGACUGAAGUAGAUAACAUAUCAAGAACAUCAAAUAGUCGAUCAAGAGAUGCAAACUCAAAGUUGCCUAAAGUGAACCCUAGAUCAAACAAAGAUCAUAUUCAGAGACACCAGAAAGCAGAACCUCGGGUCAAAGAAGAAGGUGAAAUAUCAGAGUCUGAGCAAGAAAGGUAUCAGCAGUUCAAGGAGGAAAAGUGGAUGGAAUGGUGUGCAGAUGUCAUGGAGGAGGAAGAGCAAACAUUGAAACGUCUACAAAGGUUGCAGACUACCAGUUUAGAUCUUCCAAAGGAAAAGGUUCUUGCUAGAAUUAGAAAAUACCUCCAACUUAUUGGAAGAAAGAUUGACAAAAUUGUUCAACAGCAUGAAGUAUCAUAUAAACAAUCACGAAUGACAAUGAGAUUGUGGAAUUAUGUGUCUGCCUAUUCCAAUCUGAGUGGUGAAAGGCUAUAUGAGAUCUAUGCGAAACUUAAAGAGGAGCAAGCUGAAGUGGGUGUAGGACCCUCCCAUCUCAACAGUUCUGCCCCAGGCCCUGCUGACAGAGACAGUGAUACAAGUCAGUGCCCUCUGUUCAGCAAUGACUUGCGGAAAAGACCAAGACCUUAUCAAUUUCCACCCCAAUCUUCAGAAGCAUUUCAUAGGAAUCACACCUCAGGAAAGACAGAAGCAUGGAAACGUCGGAGAAGAACAGACAUGGACAACCAGUUCCUAUCCCAGCCCUCCUAUCAACAGCCCAUCAUAAGUAAUGGGAACCGCAUACCCGAACCAAGCAAUUCUGCAGGGAUUCUUGGUUGGGCCCCAGUAGAGAUGGGGCGAUUUGGCAAUGGAAGACCCCGUAGAGCACAUCCUGGCCGCUUUCCCCCAGGACAGGGUCAUAUGUCAGAACUCUAGUCUCUAACAGUCCAUCACCAUGAUGAUGAUAUUUUGUUGUAUGAGAAGGUGAAGCUGCUUUCACCAGGUGGCUGCCACCCUGCAGUUAAAUUUACUCAAAUUUUUUUCUCAAGGAAAUAAAGGUUUGCCGAUCCCAUUUUAUGAUCUUAAGGACCGGUCUGAAGCUGCUGUUCCAUGUUGAGAGAAUCUCAUGUCACAAAAUGGUGACCAUGUGAGAGGAAACAGGUCUAGAUUCUUCUGACUAAAGCCAAAAGCUGCGUUCAAGAGGUGAAAACGAAGGAUCUGCAAAAGUUUUGACAGGGUGGGGUGCUAUGUUGGCUGGAGAGGAACGACGCCACUGCAUUUUCUAUCAUUUUAGGCAGAUGUCGUCGUUGUGCAAUUUUGCAUUGUGAAUGCAGCAAGAAUGAGAUGAUGUACGGAUUUUGGAGAAUCUUUAUUUUUUUUUAAUCAAUAAUAUCGAACUAGUAAAUUACAAGCCGAGAAGGGAGAUCUGUUAAAGGCAGAAGGUUUACAUCUAUAAUCAAGAUUAAGUUGAGGACCAGGUCCUGGUUGAUUUAAACUAUUAUAUUUUAAUAAUUGUCUAUAAUUAAUGUAUCAAUAUGCUGUUAUCUCUUUGGCAUGACAUAUGCCUUGAAGGUGAAUAAAAUUUUCUGUAUGAAGAAUGGUCCUGUAAAUACUUUCCAGGUUACGUUGAAAGUGUUGUUUUUGUUCAGACGAGACGAUGAAGGCAAUUUUACAGAGCUUUUGGCCAAUAUUGUA